AUCGUCCUACGGGAGGCAGCAGUAGGGAAUCUUCCACAAUGGACGAAAGUCUGAUGGAGCAACGCCGCGUGAGUGAAGAAGGGUUUCGGCUCGUAAAGCUCUGUUGGUAGUGAAGAAAGAUAGAGGUAGUAACUGGCCUUUAUUUGACGGUAAUUACUUAGAAAGUCACGGCUAACUACGUGCCAGCAGCCGCGGUAAUACGUAGGGAGCAAGCGUUAUCCGGAAUUAUUGGGUGUAAAGGGUGCGUAGACGGGAAAUUAAGUUAGUUGUGAAAUCCCUUGGCUUAACUGAGGAACUGCAACUAA
rnacentral:rRNA from 1 species